rnacentral:rRNA from 1 species
CCCGCUGAACUUAAGCAUAUCAAUAAGCGCAGGAAAAGAAACCAACAGGGAUUGCCUCAGUAACGGCGAGUGAAGCGGCACCAGCUCAAAUUUGAAAUCUGGCCUCUCGGGGUCCGAGUUGUAAUUUGUAGAGGAUGUUUUGGGUACCGCCCCGGUCUAAAUUUCUUGGAACAGAAUGUCAGAGAGGGUGAGAAUCCCGUCUUGGACCGGCGGUAGGGCCUGUGUAAAACUCCUUCGACGAGUCGAGUUGUUUGGGAAUGCAGCUCAAAAUGGGUGGUAAAUUUCAUCUAAAGCUAAAUAUUGGCCAGAGACCGAUAGCGCACAAGUAGAGUGAUCGAAAGAUGAAAAGCACUUUGAAAAGAGAGUUAAACAGUAUGUGAAAUUGUUGAAAGGGAAGCGCUGGCAACCAGACUUGAGCGCGGCGGUUCCCCUGGCCUUUUGGCCAGGCUACUCCGUCGUGUCCAGCCCAACAUCGGUUCUGAGGGUCGCUCAAAGGCUCUGGGAAUGUAUCUACCCACGGGUAGACUUAUAGACAAGUGUGUCAUGCGACCUCUCGGGACCGAGGAACGCGCUUCGGCUCGGAUGUUGGCGUAAUGGUUGUCAGCGACCCGUCUUGAAAUACGG